CCGAGUUUACAAACUCCCAACCCUUUGUGAACCUUACCAUAUUGUUGCUUCGGCGGGACCGCCCCGGCGCCUUCGGGCCCGGAACCAGGCGCCCGCCGGAGGCCCCAAACUCUUAUGUCUUUAGUGGUUUUCUCCUCUGAGUGACACAAUAAACAAAAUAAAUAA
rnacentral:misc_RNA from 1 species